rnacentral:rRNA from 1 species
AAUUGUUGCAGUUAAAAGCUCGUAGUUGAAUUUCUGCUACAUUGCCUAUUCUCCUUUACGAGUUUGGGUCUUUUGUGGCUUAUCUGGGUUCGCUUGCGUUCCCGGUGUUUUACUUUGAGAAAAUUAGAGUGCUCAAAGCAGGCUUUUGCCUUGAAUAGUUUAGCAUGGAAUAAUAAAGUAGGACUUUGGUUCUAUUUUGUUGGUUUUAGGUACCAAAGUAAUGGUUAAUAGGAACAGUUGGGGGCAUUCGUAUUUAACUGUCAGAGGUGAAAUUCUUAGAUUUGUUAAAGACAAACUA